rnacentral:rRNA from 1 species
AACGAACGCUGGCGGCAGGCUCAACACAUGCAAGUCGAGCGCCCCGCAAGGGGCGCGGCAGACGGGUGAGUAACGCGUGGGAAUCUACCCAUCUCUACGGAAUAACGCAUGGAAACGUGUGCUAAUACCGUAUACGUCCUUCGGAAGAAAGAUUUAUCGGAGAUGGAUGGGCCCGCGUUGGAUUAGCUAGUUGGUGGGGUAAAGGCCUACCAAGGCGACGAUCCAUAGCUGGUUUGAGAGGAUGAUCAGCCACACUGGGACUGAGACACGGCCCAGACUCCGACGGGAGGCAGCAGGGGGGAAUAUUGGACAAGGGGCGGUAGCCUGAUCCAGCCAUGCCGCGUGAGUGAUGAAGGCCCUAGGGUUGUGAAGCUCUUUCACCGGUGAAGAUAAUGACGGUAACCGAAGAAGAAGCCCCGGCUAACUUCGUGCCAGCCGCCGCGGUAAGAC